rnacentral:tRNA from 6 species
GAGUCGUUAGCUCAGCUGGUAGAGCACCUCACUUUUAAUGAGGUGGUCCUGGGUUCGAAUCCCAGACGACUCA